ACUCUGAGCCAAAGUGGUGGUCCCCUCUGUUGGCCUUGCCUCUCAGUGCAAUAAACUUUGCUGUGAUUGUCACUGGUGCCAUAGCAUUGUUUCAGGAGUCAUGUGGAUGCAACAAGUCAGCCUCCUGCUUUGCAAUUCUCCCCUCACCGCACCUUCAGAUCCUGUCUCUCUACAGCUGGCGCCAGAACAGGGACCUGAAGGUGGACGUUUGCCACACUGCUGAAGAAGUGCCACAGGAACUGAAGGGAACUUUGGAGCCGGGAAGCUCAGCCUUCGGGAUUUCUGCAGGUCUGUGCCAGAGACGAGGAGCCUGUCAACGUAUCGACUGAUAAUUCAGGUUAUGCAAUGCCCUCCUACAGUCCACCGAAUACAAACAGAAAGGGGGAGAUGCUGGAGAACAACAGGCCGGAGGCACCUUAAGAAUGUCCUGAAGGAAAGGGACAGAACAGCAAGAAACUGAAAGCAGUUUCGUUCCCAGGACAAAAGUCCCCUGGGAAUGCUCCUUCUUUCCAGAAGGACAUCAUCCGGGCGCCACCCUGGGGAUAAGAAUGUUUUGUCUGGUGCCAGAUGUACUCAUGACCCAGUAUGGAAAACACUGCAGGUACAUGACCUGUCAAGAUGCCAAAUACUAUGUUGUAUGUGCUUGCUGGUGUCAACAAUUUGCAAAAAUCAAAGAGGCUUGAGCCAGCGGACUGAGGCUUUGGCUCCUGGAGAGUCUUAGUUCCCUGCUUUGCAAUCCUCUCAUCACCACACCUCUAGGACCUGUCUCUCUACAUAUUCCACACUCUCAUUUUCUUUGUGUUUAUUUAUUACCAAUAUAUGUGUGUGACAUUUC